CCUCCCUCCUCUGUUGGUUGCUGUUGUUGUGGUUCCAUUUGUUGCGGGGUUUGGAGCUCCAUUAGUUGCAGAGUUCGUGGCUCUUGGGUCAUGAGGUGAGAGGAUGUGAAUAUCGAGGAAUACAUGGGUUAGUGUUUGAGGGAGAUUUUGUUAGAAGGAUUGGAGUUGUUGAACUGGUGAUUGGAGAUCUGAGAUUCUCAGAGGAAAGAUGAAAUCGAAUCUUCAAAUGGGAGAGAAGAUCAGAAGAGAAGGAUUGAAAUUGAUGAAGAAAGGAUUUGAGUUUCGAGAGGAAGACUGCAGAGUUUGAGAGAGAAUGGCUGGGGAAAAUUUCUUUUCUUUGGUGUGAACAGUUUUUCUCCAGGAUGCACCUAUUUAUAGAACGAGGUGAGCAGAUCUCCACCGUUGGAUGGACGAUCUCUGAGAUUCAAUCUACGCGUUGGAUUAAAGUCGCCCUGAAACCCGGAAAAGUUGUUGACGCGUGGAGAGCGUGUAAGGGGACCGAGGGAACCUCGAGGCGCUGUGGCAGACAGCUGUAGCCGAAAGCAGAUUUGACUGCCGUAAAUCACGGAAGGGAUAAGCCGUGACACAAGUGGGCCGUACUUGGGCCUGUCUCGGAUAAAGGCAUCACUGUAGCUGUGGGUGGAGGCCUGAUGGGCCGAGUUUCAGAAACAGUUUUGGACAUGAUGGGCCGAGUUUCUGAAACAGUUUUGGAUGAGUUGGGCCGGAUUUCUGUAACAGUUUUGGAUACGUUGGGCUGGGUUUCUGCAACAGUCUUGGAUGUUUUGGGCCGAAUUGUUGAAACAGUUGGUUUAAAUAAAAGGAUUGGUAUGGAUAAUAACGUGAGCAGCCGUGCUCGAGUGGUUGAGUGUAAAGUUCGUGUACAAGAGGUCUGAGGUUCGAACCUCGCCUCUCGUUUAUUUUUAUUAUGUUCGUUUAAGACAUAAUAAGUUUAACGUUUGUACACAUUAUAUUAAGCAUAGCUUGUGCUCCAGUGGUUGGGAGCGAAGCAUUGGUUUAGGGGGUCUGGAGUUCGAGACUUGCCUCCACUUAUAUUUUAUUUAUGUCGCUUAUGACAUAAUAAAUAUAACAAGUGAGCAUAUAUUAAUGAAAGCAGUUCUUGCUUCAGUGGUUGGGAGCAAGACCUUCGUGUUUGAGGUCAGGAGUUCGAAACUUACCUCUUACAUUAUUUUUGGAAUCUUGUAUAUACUCAGUAUACGGACGUAUUUUUAUACGUAGAGCAGUAGUUUCGAAAAUUUCUACAGUUUAUUCUGUAUAAACUACAGAAAACUUUAAAUCGGGAGAAAUGGACUCGCGAUUAAAUUUCGGGACGAAAUUUCUUUAAGGAGGGUAGAUUGUAAUACCCGCAAUUUUCCAUUUCGUCUCGUGAAAUUGUGCGAAUUGAUUAAAGUGCUUUUGCACGAAUAUUACCCGAAAUAAUUCAACUUUUUGAAUUAUCGAAGUUUCGAAAUAUUCGUUUUAACAAAAGCUCGAAUUGUGCGAUUCAAGAAAAAUCGACUUUUCUACGUACGGAAUUUGGGAAAAACUUCCUUCAUAAAAGUUGUAGAGCUCGUCGAUAUGAUCGCGUGCAUAUGUCGAACGAAAUUUUUGGAGUUCGUACGAUUAUGUUACGAAUUUUGGAAAUAUGAGAUUCUUUUUAUAAUCUCUUUUCCUCGGAUUCUCUUUUAGAAAUUUCUUUUUCUUCCUUUUCCUUUUCCUUUUCCUUUCCUCCGGGUCUCCUUCCUUCUUUUUCUUUUUCUCUUUUUUUUUCUUCUUUCUCUCUCUCGCUCGACCGAAACCGAAAACAGAGCAAAGGCUCUUCGGUCUCUCUCUACCUCCACCGGCCACCAAACGGCGUCGAACCACUUCCUUUUGCUUCGUCUCAGCCUUGCGCAGCUGCCAGAGGCAGCCUUGCACCGUGACACGGCCACCAGCGGCGGCGGGAAGCUCCGCCCGGUUUGAGCUCGUUUUGGAAACAAGCUUGAUAUCUCAAGCUACCGGUCACCAAUCCUCACCAAAAUCCAUCCACAAGCUCGCCUCAACUUCCUGAAACUCCCAGAAGCAGCCUCACACGGCGGCGUGGCCCGUAGCAGUGGCUGCAAGUCAAACCCAACCAAGAACGAGACCGGAGCUAUCGAUCAAGAUAUCUCGAGCUGUAGUGCAUCGUUUUGAUUGAUUCUUUUUCCAGUGGGUUCCCCUUGAUGUUAUUAACAACUCUCUAGAAGGCAUCGAGGCCUGAAAUUGAAGCUUUGACGUCGAAAUCGAGCCUUGCCGGAUUCUGCAAAAUUCUGGAAUUUUUCCGACCACCGAAGCUUUCGAUCGGUAUAUCUCGAGCUACAGACCAUAUUUUUCUGUGAUUCUUGAACCAGUGAGUUCUUCUUGAGUUUCUUAACAACUCUUCAGAAGGAAUCGAAGCCUUAAAUUGACGUUUUUACGUCGAAUUGGAGCUCGCCGUUUUCUGCAGUUUCUCGCCGGUUUCUGGAAAAUUCCGGCCACCUUCAUACUGUUCAAGGUGAUCGACGGUUUGAUUUGGCGGACGAUUCGUGAAAUUGUAUUUUGAGCUGUUAAGAAGACGCAGCGGGAAUUUAGAGCGGGUAAUCCUACAGGACAGGAGAACCAGGACGGUGAUCGUGCGGUUAGAGCAAUGGUUAUAGUUUUACAGCAAUUGUAAUAGUGAGGCGAGUUAAGCUCAUUUGAGCAUUACAAUUUGAUUUGGUGGGAGUGUGCUGUAAUAAAUAACUUGAGGAUUUGGGUUAUUGUAAAUUUGAGAGUUGUGAAGUGUGGUUGUUUGUGAGAA